rnacentral:ncRNA from 2 species
GUCACGCCAUGCCAUGACGGUUCCCGAGGGUCGCACGGCCCGAGGGAUGAAAAGGGAACACGGUGAGGGGGAAACCCCGAGUCCGCGACUGCCCCCGCAACUGUGAGCGGCGAGCCGCCCCGACGGACACCACUGGCCGAUGGCCGGGAAGGUUCGGGGACGGCCACGACCCGCGAGUCAGGAGACCUGCCGUCGGGCGCAUCCGCGC